GACGAACGUUGGCGGCGUGCUUAAUACAUGCAAGUCAACUGAAGCAGUGGUAGCAAUAUCGCUGUGGAGGUGGCGCACGGGUGAGUAACACGUAGGUAAUCUGCCUUCAGGUCUGGCAUAACUCCGGGAAACCGGGGCUAAUAGCAGAUGAUGCAGCGGCUCGACAUCGAGACAGUUGUUAAAGCUAUGGCGCCUGAAGAUGAGCCUGCGUCUGAUUAGCUAGUUGGCGGGGUAACGGCCCACCAAGCCAACGAUCAGUAGCUGGUCUGAGAGGAUGAUCAGCCAUGCUGGAACUGAGACACGGUCCAGACUCCUACGGGAGGCAGCAGUAAGGAAUAUUGCUCAAUGGGAGAAAUCCUGAAGCAGCAACGCCGCGUGAGGGACGAAGGGCUUUUGCUUGUAAACCUCUGUAGUGAGAGAAAAAAAUCCCAAUCUUUGGGACAUGAUGGUAUCUCAAAAGUAAGCCCCGGCUAACUACGUG
rnacentral:rRNA from 1 species